GACGAACGCUGGCGGCGUGCUUAACACAUGCGAGUCGAACGGAAGGGCCCUGCUUUUGUGGGGUGCUCGAGUGGCGAACGGGUGAGUAACACGUGAGUAACCUGCCCUGACUUUGGGAUAACUUCAGGAAACUGGGGCUAAUACCGGAUAGGAGCUCCUGCUGCAUGGUGGGGGUUGGAAAGUUUCGGCGGUUGGGGAUGGACUCGCGGCUUAUCAGCUUGUUGGUGGGGUAGUGGCUUACCAAGGCUUUGACGGGUAGCCGGCCUGAGAGGGUGACCGGCCACAUUGGGACUGAGAUACGGCUCAGACUCCUACGGGAGGCAGCAGUGGGGAAUAUUGCACAAUGGGCGGAAGCCUGAUGCAGCAACGCCGCGUGCGGGAUGACGGCCUUCGGGUUGUAAACCGCUUUCGCCUGUGACGAAGCGUGAGUGACGGUAAUGGGUAAAGAAGCACCGGCUAACUACGUG
rnacentral:rRNA from 1 species